CCCGGGCGACCGGCGCACGGGUGAGUAACACGUAUGCAACCUGGCCGCCACAGGGGGAUAACCCGCGGAAACGCGGCCUAAUACCCCGUGACGCCACCGGAGGGCAUCCUCCGGUGGCCAAAGGAGCGAUCCGGUGGCGGAUGGGCAUGCGGCGCAUUAGCUAGACGGCGGGGUGACGGCCCACCGUGGCGACGAUGCGUAGGGGUUCUGAGAGGAAGGCCCCCCACACUGGGACUGAGACACGGCCCAGACUCCUACGGAAGGCAGCAG
rnacentral:rRNA from 1 species